UCAUCAGGGAGGAUAAUCCUUACCUGUUCCACCUAUUGGAGGGCAGAACAGAAUAUGAUGGCUAGAGUUUGAAUGAUUCGUGAUUAACGUUGUAAAUUGUCUUAUCGGGGCCAGCAGUUUAAUUUAGGAGCAACUGAA